rnacentral:pre_miRNA from 2 species
UUCUUUGGUGAUCUAGCUGUAUGGAUAAUAAUUUUAUUCCAUAAAGCUAUUUUACCGAUGUC